rnacentral:rRNA from 1 species
CACACCAUGAGAGUUGGGAAUACCCGAAGCCUGUGAGCUAACUUUACGAGGCAGCGGUCGAAGGUAGAAUCAAUGAUUGGGUGAAGUCGUAACAAGGUAUC